rnacentral:rRNA from 1 species
GACGAACGCUGGCGGCGUGCCUAACACAUGCAAGUCGAACGAGAUCCAUGGGAGCUUGCUCCCGGAAGAUCUAGUGGCGAACGGGUGAGUAACACGUGAGAAACCUGCCCUGGAGUGGGGAAUAACUCGGGGAAACUCGAGCUAAUACCGCAUACCCUCGGAUGGUCGCAUGGCCGACCGAGGAAAGAUUUAUCGCUCUAGGAGGGUCUCGCGGCCUAUCAGCUAGUUGGUGGGGUAACGGCCUACCAAGGCAACGACGGGUAGCUGGUUUGAGAGAACGAUCAGCCACACUGGGACUGAGACACGGCCCAGACUCCUACGGGAGGCAGCAGUGGGGAAUCUUGCGCAAUGGGCGAAAGCCUGACGCAGCAACGCCGCGUGCGGGAUGACGGCCUUCGUGGUUGGUAAACCGACUUUCAGCAGGGACGGAAAAAUAGACGGUACCUCGCAGAAGAAGACCCCGGCUAACUACGUGCCAGCAGCCGCGG